GUUGAUUAGCUGCGUAUAUACGAAUGUGAAUCGCAUCAUUGGCUGGACUAUGGGAUAAGGUGGCAUCGUUCUAAUCCCAUACGGGAGCAGCCAGUCACUUACUGACUAACACUGCAAAACAGAAUUGUUAACGUAUUUAUUUUAAUUUCAAUUCAGGUUAGAUUUUUUUUUGUGCGCAACACAGAUUUUCUUUGCGCAGAGACCGUGCCAGCAGUGCGCAAUUGCGCACGUGCGCAGCUUAGAGGGAACAUUGCUCAAGAUGGCAGUCUCCUGGGAUUUUCAUUUACCAUACAUGAAUCUACUUGGAGGCUGAGGGAUACUGGUGGCCAUCAGUAUUUUUUUUUUUUUUUUGUCUCAGAAAUGUAGUUUAAUAAGCUCAUUAUUGUCAAUUUAGGUCUUUAGUUUUAAGAUCUGCCAUUGGUACUCCUACUCAUGGCUGUUGCGUGAUGAUCUCUGGCAGUUGCCAAUCCACGUGCAUGGUGCUGACCUGUGAGUACAGGUCCCACUAAAGAACACCAGGUCCUCAUGGAGUCUGUUUCUGACAGUUUGGUCAGAAACAUGCACAUCAUCAGCCAGCUGGAGGUCAUUUCGUAAGACUCCUGUUGCUCCUCACGUAAAGGAGCAUUUGCUGGUCCUUCUGCUGCCCUACCCUACUUGGGUAACAGCCUGUCAUCUGCUAUCUUCUCCAAAAUCUUGAAACUGAUGGAAGAUAACUUCAUAACAACUUCAGAAUCUCUUCAGACACUAAACGUGUGUGAGCAGGACUGUUUUACUGCAAUGCUCUUCUUUCUGGUCUUCUAAAAACUCUUUGUCACCAACGCAGCUGCGACUGCACAUCUGAUGAUAAGAACCAGAAUAGCAGCCCAUAUUACACCAAUUUUAAUGUGUCUGCACUGGCUCCCAGUUAGUUUCAGAGUUUAAGAGCCUUUUACUUGUUUUUUAAGACUCUCACGAGUUUAACGCCUUAUCUUUCAGAUUUACUUUUACACUUUGAGCCUUUCAGAAAACCUCAGGUCCUCAGAUAGGAGAAAUUAAUUCUCAUGGAGAGCCAUCUUUCAGCUUUCAUGCUCCACAUUUACGGAUUAGCUUUUAGAGUUUUUCGUUUGACUUUAAGGUUUUUGUGUCUAUGUAAUUAUUAUUUUUAUUUUUUUUACAGAUAUAUUUUCAUUGCAGUCUUUGUUUACAUGUUUAUUUCUCUUUUACUAUAUUUUAUUUUUUCACCUUAGUUUCUUUUAUAUUUACUUUUGGUUUUUUUCCCCCCAAUCUCCAGUGUUUCUAUAUGACAGGAACAGUUGCUGGUCCUUCUAGUCUAAGGUCUAUAGCACAUUGAAUGACGUACAUUAUUUUUACAUACAGGGUUUAUGUUUUUUCUGUUUUCCAUGCCCCGCCCUGGGAUUAAUAAAGGAUUUAGAUUCCGUUACCACCUGCGAGAUUGUUCCCUUUCAGUGCACGUGUUGUCCCUUUUCAUUUGUACCAGAGCAGGUGAAAUGGAUCCACAAAGGUUUAAGCUUUCUGAUGUUUAACUGAUUUUGUCCUAUAAACAGUCAGCUAAACCUAAGCCUGUGUUGUGUUUAAGAACUGCCAGCAGGGGGAGCCAGUGCAAAAGAAAAAACAACCUUCCUGUGAACAAACCAGCUCUAUUGUAUUGUUUUCUUUAUUGCAAUAAAUGUAAGAAAGAAUAUAGUGAGUCCAACACACCUUAUAAGUUGUACUUUUAGCUUUUUUAUUUAUUUCAGUCUCAGCAGUGAAAAUCUGCAUUCAUAAAAAUACAAGUUCUAAAUCCAAACGCUGAACAAAAGUAUUUUAAACACACUGCUACUAUAAACAAUGAUCGCAGCCAGCGCACAGACACUUAAAAUAACGGAGCAGCAGUAACUAAACAUUACCAGUGAUAGGGAUCCAGCAAUAAUAACAAAACAAGAUGCUCUGGAGAGAUUGGAUCAUAACAAACAAUGUAGUAACGCAGUGAAAACUACCAUUGCAAAAUCUUGAUGAUGUCUAACGUUUUUAAUUAUUCUCAAGCAGUCAUUUUAGUCCUGUUUUUUUUUUAAGACACAAAAGCCUCAGAAGGGGAAACAUACAACAGGCAACCAUACACAUGCAAUUGUGUUCUCGAGUGUUUUUAUGUGAACACCUAAACUUUGGACCGUUUCUAUUAUCUACUCCAUUCCUGUGUCAACUCUAAAGCAUCGCAGUGCGCACCUCAAAUGUGUCAAUCUAAUCUAGACCUCUUCAGCUACACUGCAAAGACAGAUUUUUAUAUUUAUUUUAUUUUUUCUGAACGCGUCUGUUCUGUGUUGCGGCAGUGCUAUUUUGUCCUGAGGACUAAACUACUGUCUCUCGUUCAUCCUGAGAAGACUCUGGAAAAUUUCCUGUCACUCCUUAACCUGUGAAAAAAAACA